rnacentral:rRNA from 1 species
UAGAGUUUGAUCAUGGCUCAGGACGAACGCUGGCGGCGUGCCUAACACAUGCAAGUCGAACGAGAAACCCAUUUGUGAUCCCUUCGGGGUGAACUGUUGGGUGGAAAGUGGCGGACGGGCGAGUAACGCGUGAGUAACCUGCCCAUAAGAGGGGGAUAAUCCUUGGAAACGAGGACUAAUACCGCAUAUUGAAAUUUUAUGGCAUCAUAGAAUUUUGAAAGAUUUAUCGCUUAUGGAUGGACUCGCGUCAGAUUAGCUGGUUGGUGAGGUAACGGCUCACCAAGGCGACGAUCUGUAGCCGAACUGAGAGGUUGAUCGGCCGCAUUGGGACUGAGACACGGCCCAGACUCCUACGGGAGGCAGCAGUGGGGAAUAUUGCGCAAUGGGGGAAACCCUGACGCAGCAACGCCGCGUGCAGGAAGAAGGUCUUCGGAUUGUAAACUGUUGUCGCAGGGGAAGAAGACAGUGACGGUACCCUGUGAGAAAGUCACGGCUAACUACGUGCCAGCAGCCGCGGUAAUACGUAGGUGACAAGCGUUGUCCGGAUUUACUGGGUGUAAAGGGCGCGUAGGCGGGAUAGCAAGUCAGUCGUGAAAUGCCGAGGCUUAACCUCGGAGCUGCGAUUGAAACUGUUAUUCUUGAGUGUCGGAGAGGAAAGCGGAAUUCCUAGUGUAGCGGUGAAAUGCGUAGAUAUUAGGAGGAACACCAGUGGCGAAGGCGGCUUUCUGGACGACAACUGACGCUGAGGCGCGAAAGUGUGGGGAGCAAACAGGAUUAGAUACCCUGGUAGUCCACACCGUAAACGAUGGAUACUAGGUGUAGGAGGUAUCGACCCCUUCUGUGCCGCAGUUAACACAAUAAGUAUCCCACCUGGGGAGUACGACCGCAAGGUUGAAAC